GUCUGUCACACUGAGCCUCUCCUCUUCUCCCCAAUCACCUUUCAUUCAGGAGAGCUCACCCAUGAGGAAGAGGACUGAGGACAUGGGCAAAGGAGGGGGUGCCCCAGGUAGGGUGAAUCAGGUUUGGUCUGAAAGCCCUUGGAAAAUGAAUGAAGCUGAGGUCAGCAGCGGGCAGCUGUCAGCAUUAUUAUAAAUUCACUGGGGUUACUGAAAUCCAAUGCUGGACUCUUUAUGGUGAAAGUCCUGGCUCUCCCAGAAAUGAACAUUUUAAUGACAAACUGGGAAACGAGGUAUCCAUCCCCAGAACACAUGGCAGUAGACUGAGAGAUGUGUGUUCAGCUGACAGUGGUCAUUCUGAGGCCAGAAACAGUGCAUUGUGGGAAACACGGACUUUCAGAGGACAGGACCAGAGUCUCAGGCCACUGAAGGCUAGAAAUGCCAUCUGCC
rnacentral:lncRNA from 10 species